CGAGCGAACCGAUUAAGAGCUUGCUCUUAAGAAGUUAGCGGCGGACGGGUGAGUAACACGUAGGUAACCUGCCUAUAAGACUGGGAUAACUCCGGGAAACCGGGGCUAAUACCGGAUAACAUUUUGCACCGCAUGGUGCGAAAUUGAAAGGCGGCUUCGGCUGUCACUUAUAGAUGGACCUGCGGCGCAUUAGCUAGUUGGUGAGGUAACGGCUCACCAAGGCGACGAUGCGUAGCCGACCUGAGAGGGUGAUCGGCCACACUGGGACUGAGACACGGCCCAGACUCCUACGGGAGGCAGCAGUAGGGAAUCUUCCGCAAUGGACGAAAGUCUGACGGAGCAACGCCGCGUGAGCGAUGAAGGCCUUCGGGUCGUAAAGCUCUGUUGUUAGGGAAGAACAAGUGCUAGUUGAAUAAGCUGGCACCUUGACGGUACCUAACCAGAAAGCCACGGCUAACUACGUGCCAGCAGCCGCGGUAAUACGUAGGUGGCAAGCGUUAUCCGGAAUUAUUGGGCGUAAAGCGCGCGCAGGUGGUUUCUUAAGUCUGAUGUGAAAGCCCACGGCUCAACCGUGGAGGGUCAUUGGAAACUGGGAGACUUGAGUGCAGAAGAGGAAAGUGGAAUUCCAUGUGUAGCGGUGAAAUGCGUAGAGAUAUGGAGGAACACCAGUGGCGAAGGCGACUUUCUGGUCUGCAACUGACACUGAGGCGCGAAAGCGU
rnacentral:rRNA from 1 species